rnacentral:piRNA from 1 species
UGCCACAAGAAUUGCUGUUGAAACAGUCCC